UACGUAGGGUGCAAGCGUUGUCCGGAAUUAUUGGGCGUAAAGAGCUCGUAGGUGGCCUGUCGCGUCGGCUGUGAAAACUCGGGGCUCAACUCCGAGCUUGCAGUCGAUACGGGCAGGCUAGAGUUCGGCAGGGGAGACUGGAAUUCCUGGUGUAGCGGUGAAAUGCGCAGAUAUCAGGAGGAACACCGGUGGCGAAGGCGGGUCUCUGGGCCGAUACUGACACUGUGGAGCGAAAGCGUGGGGAGCGAACAGG
rnacentral:rRNA from 1 species